GACGAACGCUGGCGGCGUGCUUAACACAUGCAAGUCGAACGACGAAGCCGGAGCUUGCUCUGGUGAAUUAGUGGCGAACGGGUGAGUAACACGUGAGUAACCUGCCCUUGACUCUGGGAUAACUGCGGGAAACUGUAGCUAAUACCGGAUACGACCCUCGGAGGCAUCUCCUGGGGGUGGAAAGAAUUUCGGUCAAGGAUGGACUCGCGGCCUAUCAGCUAGUUGGUGAGGUAAAGGCUCACCAAGGCGACGACGGGUAGCCGGCCUGAGAGGGUGACCGACCACACUGGGACUGAGACACGGCCCAGACUCCUACGGGAGGCAGCAGUGGGGAAUAUUGCACAAUGGGCGCAAGCCUGAUGCAGCAACGCCGCGUGAGGGAUGACGGCCUUCGGGUUGUAAACCUCUUUUAGCAGGGAAGAAGCGAAAGUGACGGUACCUGCAGAAAAAGCACCGGCUAACUCCUUGCCAGCAGCCGCGGUAA
rnacentral:rRNA from 1 species